rfam:Peptococcaceae bacterium CEB3 CEB3_contig000055, whole genome shotgun sequence.
UCCUCAUCAAGAGCGGCUGAGGGACUGGCCCGAUGAAGCCCGGCAACCGGCAGAUUUGCUGCAGAGGUGCCAAUUCCUGCAAGGCACGGUCCUUGAGAGAUGAGAG